GACGAACUGUGCAAACGUUAUUCGGAAUCACUGGGCUUGAAGAGUGCGUAGGCGGUUUCGUAAGUAGGGUGUGAAAGCCCCCAGCUCAACUGGGGAACUGCGUCCUAAACUGCGAGGCUGGAGUGAGGUAGGGGUGUGUGGAACUUCCGGUGGAGCGGUGAAAUGUGUUGAUAUCGGAAGGAACGCCGAAGGUGAAAACAGCUCGCUGGGGUUGUGCUGACGCUGAGACACGAAAGCCAGGGGAGCGAACGGG
rnacentral:rRNA from 1 species